ensembl:misc_RNA Metazoa_SRP Metazoan signal recognition particle RNA
GCUGGGAGUGGUGGUGCAUGCCUGUAAUCCCAGCUACUCAGGAGGCUGAGGCAGGAGAAUUGCUUGAACCUGGGAGGCAGGGGUUGCAGUGAGCUGAGAUCGCACCACUGCACUCCAGUCUAGGUGACAGAGCAAGACUCUGUCUCAA